UGCCUCCUGGCCCCCAAAGCGCUGAGCUGCUUCAUCCUCCUUUCUUUGGAUCUUCGGUUUUGGAACCAAACCUGUUACACAAAAUGAAGAAUAGGCUUCUGCAUGGACAGAAUGAGCAGAUCCACCCCUAAAAUGAGGGAUUACUGUGAAUUUUGGAAGAAUUCUUACUGGGAUAAGCCGAGAAAGAACGAACAUGAAAACCAUCAAACAUGAAAACCACUUCAUCAAAAGCAUCAUAUCCUGUACAAGCCCCUCUAAAGAGCUUAUAGGAUCCGGAUUACAACUCUUUCAGGGGGAUGAAUGGAGACCCCCUGCCUGAAAGACAAGGGAAGGACCUCACUCUUUUGCUAGAGAAAUAAGGAUUAAAAAACACCAAUCUUUACCACUGAAGCAAUGUGAAUAACAGGGGAGGGCUCACGGGAUUUGUUUUAAGAGCAGAAUCAAAAUUGGGACAGAAGCCAAAUAUAAAGAAAGGUAAAAAUGAUAAUAAAAAGAUAAAGAAGAAAAAGCAAUGUUUCAGUUUUGUAAAGAUCUCUUUUGGGGUUCUGAAAGCAAGUUGAAUUUAAAAUGCAUAAGAACAUUUUCUAUUGUACACGUGUUACUGAUAUAUCUUGUCCGAGUUCUAAGCACCUAUACUAAUGCAUCUUUAAACACGUAUUUUCUUAUUAAGUGAUCCUUUUAUCUACAAACAAAAAAUUAUAUUAGAAAUAACAGAGAAAGAAAAAGCAAAGUGAUAUACACACUUCAAAAACAAGGGAAAAAAACAUUGUUAUGUGAUCCAAAUAAAAUAAC